rnacentral:lncRNA from 1 species
CAUAGACAUACAGGGAUAUGCUCAGUCAUUUUAAUGUACUUGAUAAUAUAUCAAAAUUGCUUUAUUAAGAAUUCCCAUUGCAGGGCACAUUUCCCUUCUCCACUGAAGAGGUGAAGGUUUCUAUAUACUUUCAUAUUAUAGUUAAUAAGCCUGUGUAAAUACCUUCUCUGGUCCCUGUCUGUUCAUACGAAGGAAUGUAAUAUUGUACCUUAAUUUUCAAAAUAGAUGGGAGAGGAGCACUUGGCUCCAAUUAUGACCCCUUGCGUAUUUCCACAAUCUCCUCCAAACCCACCUAACAUGUUGACUCAUUUUCUAGUGCUUCCGGCUUUAUUGUUGUGACUUGUCAGAAAAAAAUGCCUUGAAACACUGCUCUCCUCCUAACUACCUUGUAGUCUCCACCACGCCCCCCACUUGCUCACUUGCUGUCAUUCUCGUGGCUCCACUUUUCCCUUUCCCCUCUACCUUUCUUCAAGACCCAUCUCGGAAGCCGCCAACUCCACAAAGGCUGUCUGAAUCCCUCCAAGACACACCCUUUCCUUCCAUCGAAAUUCUAAUACACACUGUUCUAACUCCUCCCCAAAUGAACUUCGUUUAGAUGGGUGAAAGUGAAAGUCACUCAGUCUGACUCUUUGUGACCCCAUGGGUAUAGUCCAUGGAAUUCUCCAGGCCAGAAUACUGG